CAAGGUUUGACAAAGACAUGAUCUCCGUAAAGAACAAUGGGUAAUUUUGUAUGGAACCCGUACCCACCGUGUAGCAUUUUAGACUAGGUGUCAUUUAGAAGAGGCAUAACUGACUGACAGAAAAAUGAAUGAACGAAUGAAUGAAUGAAUGGGAGACCGAAGUUAUGAUAACUUCUUUUUUGCAUUUUUAAUUGCCAAGUAUUAUAACAAUAGCAUAUUUUUCUGUUCUAUAAACCAAAUGAACAACCAGACAUUCUUCCAUUCUAAAAAGAGACCAUCAGCUUAAAAGCUAAGACGUUCUCUCUUCCUUACCUCCAUACCGUUCGUUUUUGCUACGGGCAAAAUAUUAAAUAAAAAACCAUCAAUCUUAAAAAGCACAGUUUUAUUACAGAACAAAGAAGCAUCAUUUUUAUAUGGUAUUGCUACUUUCAAUUAUUACAUCGUCCCAGGCAUUUGCCGGACCAACGAAGUUAUCUAGGUGCCUACCCACACCUAAGUACCAUAUUAUGCUAACAGUGUGGGCACAGGCGCCUAGAGUUCUCAUACCUGUC